rnacentral:rRNA from 1 species
UACGAAGGGUGCAAGCGUUAAUCGGAAUUACUGGCGUAAAGGGUGCGUAGGCGGUUCGUUAAGUCUGUCGUGAAAUCCCCGGGCUCAACCUGGGAAUGGCGAUGGAUACUGGCGGGCUAGAGUGUGUCAGAGGAUGGUGGAAUUCCCGGUGUAGCGGUGAAAUGCGUAGAGAUCGGGAGGAACAUCAGUGGCGAAGGCGGCCAUCUGGGACAACACUGACGCUGAAGCACGAAAGCGUGGGGAGCAAACAGG